CCUACGGGCGGCAGCAGUGAGGAAUAUUGGUCAAUGGACGAGAGUCUGAACCAGCCAAGUAGCGUGAAGGAUGACUGCCCUAUGGGUUGUAAACUUCUUUUAUAUGGGAAUAAAAUGUUCCACGUGUGGGAUUUUGUAUGUACCAUAUGAAUAAGGAUCGGCUAACUCCGUGCCAGCAGCCGCGGUAAUACGGAAGAUCCGAGCGUUAUCCGGAUUUAUUGGGUUUAAAGGGAGCGUAGGUGGAUUGUUAAGUCAGUUGUGAAAGUUUGCGGCUCAACCGUAAAAUUGCAGUUGAAACUGGCAGUCUUGAGGACAGUAGAGGUGAGCGGAAUUCGUGGUGUAGCGGUGAAAUGCUUAGAUAUCACGAAGAACUCCGAUUGCGAAGGCAGUUCACUGGACUGCAACUGACACUGAGGCUCGAAAGUGUGGGUAUCAAACAGGAUUAGAUACCCGAGUAGUC
rnacentral:rRNA from 1 species